rnacentral:rRNA from 1 species
CACGGGGGGAGCAAGCGUUGUUCGGAAUCACUGGGCGUAAAGGGCGUGCAGGCGGCCUGGUAAGUGGGAUGUGAAAUCCCUCGGCUCACCCGAGGACCGGCAUCCCAAACUGCCCGGCUUGAGUAUGGGAGAGGAUGAGGGAAUUCCUGGUGUAGCGGUGAAAUGCGUAGAUAUCAGGAGGAACACCGGUGGCGAAGGCGCUCAUCUGGCCCAAUACUGACGCUGAGGCGCGAAAGCUAGGGGAGCAAACGGG